rnacentral:rRNA from 1 species
GACGAACGCUGGCGGCGUGCUUAACACAUGCAAGUCGAACGGAAAGGCCCUGCUUUUGUGGGGUGCUCGAGUGGCGAACGGGUGAGUAACACGUGAGUAACCUGCCCUUGACUUUGGGAUAACUUCAGGAAACUGGGGCUAAUACCGGAUAGGAGCUCCUGCUGCAUGGUGGGGGUUGGAAAGUUUCGGCGGUUGGGGAUGGACUCGCGGCUUAUCAGCUUGUUGGUGGGGUAGUGGCUUACCAAGGCUUUGACGGGUAGCCGGCCUGAGAGGGUGACCGGCCAAAUGGGGACGGGGAUACGGCCCAGACUCCUACGGGGGGCAGGGGGGGGGAAUUUUGCACAAGGGGCGGAAGCCUGAUGCAGCAACGCCGCGGGCGGGAUGACGGCCUUGGGGUUGUAAACCGCUUUCGCCUGUGACGAAGCGUGGGUGACGGUAAUGGGAAAAGAAGCACCGGCUAACUACGU